CCUAUACUUGCUUGAAUCAUAACUCUCUCUAAAAAUGAAUAAUGCUUAUUAAGCUAAACAGAAGAUAUGAAGGCAGAUCAUCCUGCUUGCCUUUACUCCUUGCUGAAAUCCAUGUCUUGGCCGGGCACGGUGGCUCACAACUAUAAUCCCAGCACUUUGGGAGGCCGAGGGGACAUGGAUGAAGCUGGAAAGCAUCACCCUCAGCAAACUAACUCAGGGACAGAAAACCAAACACCGCAUGCUCUCACUCGCUGUCUGGAGUACCGUGCUGAGAAAGACGACAUGAGAAUGAUUCUUGUGAGUACACAGCAGCAGUUAUUGGAAGGCACACAUCAUGAAGCUCAGGCACGGACUCUCUGCAUCCUGAGAGUUUGAGCCCUUUAUCCAGUUCUCCCAGGCAAAGGUAAGCUGCAAGCUCAGAUCACCGAAACCUGAGGCCUACAUUGAACACCUGGGGCCAUCAGAUCUUUUUCCAAGGAUGAUUAUGGUGGAGUUGGUACUACAGAGACAUGGAGGAGGUUUUCGCUAAAUGGACUGACCAAUUUCAUAUUUGUUAGUUAACCAGCCCCUAAUCUAAGCAACUAGGAAAAAAGAAGAAAAAGGAAAUCAUGUAGUGAUAAAAUAUACCUAUUGAAAAAAAGUAUUGUCUGGAAUUUUGAAAAGAUUAUUCCACCCCUGUACUUCAUCCAUUAUCCCUUGUGAUCCCAAACUAUGGUUGAUUUUAACCUGAUUUGCUUAAUGUUAAAAUUAAUCUGUCAAACUGUUUUACCAUAUAUGACCACUUAUAAGCUCAGCAGCAUCCAGUCCAACUCCGUCAGUUUCAAGAUGAGGAAAUGAGGCCUUUGAAGGUAAAGGGGCAGGUAGUUGGUGCCUGGUUCUAGAUUAGAACUCAUAUCUAUGCCAUUAUUUUGUAUUGUGUCUCUAAUUGAAGGAUAUUGAUCAUUCUGAACUACAUUUUGAAUCGUAAAGAUGUUACUCCUUUGUCAAAUAUUAAGUCUGUAGAUAUAUAUUUAAUAGUUGUCUCUAGGAAGAGAAAUUAAGGUCAGUUUCACUU
rnacentral:lncRNA from 1 species